AUGGGGGCCUGAGGGUGCGGUGUGUGCCGGCUAGCAACUUUCGGAGUCUCAGAGUAAUUUAGGUUGGAAAAGGUAUUCGAGAUCACCCAGUCCAAUUUACGACCCAGCGCUGCUGUGUCAGCCAGGCCAUGACGCCGGGUGCUGUGUGCAGCUUUUCCUUGAGCAUGGCCAGGGCCGGUGACUCCGCCGCCUUCUUGGACAGCCCAUUCCAAUGUUUAGCCAUUCUUUCAGUGUAACAAUUACUCCUAAUGUCCGGCUUAAAUGUCAAUUGAUGCAGUAGAAGGCCAUCAUAUCUUCCCAUCAUAUCUCUUAUUCCCUGGGAGCAGAGCCUGACACCAGAUUGGCUCCAAAGUCCUGCCAGGGAGUUGUAGAGAGCAAUAAGGUUCCCCUUUGAAUCUCUUUUUCUCCAGAAUAAACACCCCCAGCUCCCUCAGCUGCUCCUCAUCAGACUUGAGCUUCUUUCAGAAGAAGGACAUGCAUCAAGUUGUACAGCAAUCCUUGCUGCCAUAAAGGAAUAUGAAAUCUCUUCCAACAGUAAGCCUUGUAGUUAAGCCACAGCAAAAUGUUUAAACUGGGACAGAAUGAUGAGGGUCAUAAUCUUCAAGAAUUGAAAAAUCCUUCCAAAGUUCCCAAUAGUGCCUUGGAUUAAUGUGGUAAAGAGAACACCACAAAAAUGCAAAGUCUGUGCAGAGCAAAGGACUUGUUUAUCUGGAAGAUUCUGUUGCACCUUCUCCUUUCAGCUUUCACAGGUGAGGCAGACAACACAAGUAUUUAGGAGCAGCCUGAAUUUGAUUCAGCAAGAACAUCUUGCACAGAAGGAGCAACAGGAAGGGAGGCACAGGGAAAAGAUGAAGGGACAAGACUGACAUCACUAGCACUGAAAUGUGUUUGAAGGACAGGAGGUUCCCAUCUUCCAAAUAUUUUGUGAGAAGAUGUACUUUUGAGUGACAAUUUGACAGGUUGAAAAGUGUAUCUCAAUAUGAUAAUGAGACUUUUGAGAAGGGAGUUGCUGACCCCAAACCACAACACGACCCAGUUGUGGACAAGCAAGAGGGGAAUGAGAAAAGGGCAAGUGUUAUGAAGAUGGAUAAUUGGGAUUAUGGCUUUGAGUAGGGAUUUCUUGGUUGAUCCCAGCUUCUGGGAUUGGCUGUGCAUGGAAGGAAAAAUUAAAUGCCUUUCUCAUGGACAUGAACCAGAUCUUCAGAUUGCUUUCCUUUUUAUGCCGUAGUUUUACAUCCUCAGAUUCAUUUCUAAAAUCAAUUAAUUCCAUAAGUAAUCAUUUUUUCAUGAACUACAUGUAAAUUUCACACUCAGCUUGCUAACUAGAUUUUCCUCUCAUCUGGGAAAUCAAUUUUUAGGAGAGUUAUUUUAUUUACAUUGAAUAAUUGGUUGUAUUUGGUACACAGAUAGCUGGUAAUUAAUAACUGUAUUGAUACUGGAUAUUCACUGCCAUUUGUUCUAAUGAGUUGUUAGACCAUUAAGCUCCAUGAUAUUUUCUUGAUGUGACCAAAUUUGAACACACUGAAAAAAAUUAAAAGGUGUGUGAUACUUUUAUGACCUGUAAAUUUAUAUAUUUGGUAGGGAUGCAUUUUCAGAAGGCAUAUUUAAUUUCAUUACUUAAUCUGUAUCCAAACAUCGUGCUCCUUAUUUAGUAUCCACAACCAAUUUGUAGCAAGCAUGGCACUGGUAGUGCACACAAAUGAAGUACUCAAAUAUCCACAUUAAUUGCAUUUUAUAAUUACAAAUUAAAUGUACUUGUCAUUUUAAAAGCCACAUUUUCAUGGUAAUCUCCAGUCCUCCCACUAAAAAAUUCUGACUUCUCACAGGUUCUUCCAUAGGAAAAAUGGUGACAAGAGGUCAAAAAUGGUGUUGCUGGACUUUCAUCAGUCCAGAAGUAUUUAUAUUCACAAAGUCAAUGCUUGAUGAAACAACAAAAGAGAUUAUUGGCUACUUAUCAGAAUUUGUAACAUACUGCUGGGUUUUUAUGUUGAAAUAAUAUAUAAAGUCUUUUUAUCUGCAGAAGAAAAUACAAGGCAGCACAACCUUGUGACCAAUCCUGAUGUCCUUACAUCAAAUUUGUGAGCGUUGCUAUUGUGGCCAACACUGGAUUCAGUGUCGAAUUUUUCUGAUGGCAAUUUACUGUUCCCCAUUGAGCAAAUAUUCAAAUAAUCUGAUUUAUUUCCUUUUGGUCAACUGAUCUAAUUUCCUUUCUCACUUGAAUUCCUGUCCUGGAGACCUGCCAAACAACAACUCUCAUGAAUGAAACGAGUCAUGCCUUUGAGAUUCCUGUGGAACAUCAAACUGGCACAACACAGUAAUUACAGCUUAGCUAUUUCUGAUGCUGUUAUUAAAAAUGACUUGAACUUUAGAAAGAAGGACUACUGCAAUUAAACUCUACGAUUUGUCAAGUUCUAGGCAAUUUUCUCUUUAUCUCUUCAUCUACCUGCUGUUGGAUAUUUACAGAUACUACCAGGAGUCCCAGUUCUGAUGGUGUACUUUUUCAGAUUUCUUUUUGAAAUUCUCUUAAUGGGUACCAGUCACAGAGACGGUCAGAGUUGUCAGAUCCCAGAAAAGCUGAUGGCUGUGUAUGUGCCAGGUCCCCACGGCAGGUUCUCACUGUGUAAUUCACAUUUUCAGGCCAGUUAUAGAACAUACUGAAGGCCUGUACUAGUUCCUUGGAUAUAGGUUUGAAAACAUGUUUAGCUAAUCACAAACACUCCUGUACAUGCUUGUUUCCACAAAAUAUACACAAUUUCCUAGUGCAGAAAUGAAAUCUACUCCAACAUAAAUUUUGCAUUAUUAUCUGUUUUUUUAGCAGUAAAUGAGGACAUAAGAAACUUCCUUAAGCAGAAAAUAUGCCACAUUCUAUCCUUUUGAAAUGGUGUUUUCAAACUGUGUCAAAAUGAUCAAGAACUGGAUUCUUCCUUAAACAUAAUAGGAAGGCCUUAUUGUAUUAGCAGAUUACAGUCAUUGUGUUAGUAUACUAUCUACCUUGUAUUCAUUUUUGCUAACAUAAUGAGAAAUUUUUCUAGCAUGGUUAUAAUUUAAUGCAAUAAAAUAGUGUUGGAAAGGAAAAUUAGUGUGAUUUUAAAGAGAGAUGUAAAGACAAUAAAGUAGCCUCUGAGUUUUCUUUCCUAAACUUUUAAUUUGUUGCUAACCUAAAAUACACUUUUUAUCAAUCCUUUGAAAUAAUUAUAGUCAAAUUAACAUUAAAAGGUUUACAGAUGGUUUUUUCCACAUACUCUGCUGUAUAAGAUCUCAGCAAGUCUGCCCAGAUGUUUUUAAAUUUUCUUAUUUUAGAGAAGUACAUAACUCUUUAAUCAAGCCCUGAGCUUUAAUGUGAAUAUUUUCGUGGCACCAUUUACAAUGUCCUUGCUUCUCUGAGGUUUGCAUUUUGAUGAAAAUUCUGACCAUAGAAUCAGAAAGAAAUGUCUGUGGUUUUAAGCAUAAGCAACCAAUGAACAAGUUGCUUUGUCUACUCUGUAAAAAAGGCAUUUCUAAAGCACUAACACACAGUGAGUACUCAGGGAGGAAGUAAGACCUGUUCAAAAUAUCAGAUUGAAUCUUGGAAGAUCUGUACUCCAUUCCCAUUCUUGCCACAGACUUCCUGUGAAGAAUGAAGGAGGUAUUUUCAACUUUAAUCUCACGGGUGGAAGAGUUUUCAUCACCCUUGUUUGUUGUGAGCAUAAACUCGGAAGGUUUUGAGCCCAUUUGGACUCCAGGGCAUCAACAGACACUGGCCAGGGCUGCACUGAUUUUCAGAGGGUCAAGCUAAGGAACAAAUAACAAUUGCACAAAUUAAUGUGGCAGUGUAGGUCUGACAAAAAUGUCUAAGCACUUCAAGGUGCUGAUGAUGUGGGUUCUCUAGAGUAAGUUUUUUGUGGAAGGCAGAAGCACAAGCGAGCUGUUGUAGAUGUACCCAAAGCAACCUUAACCUGACUCAACUGGAUCCCAGCAAGGGUAGGCUGUGUGAAAGUGAGUGAGGCUGUGAAGUUCACUUCUCACUGGCCACAGCAUUUACUCAUCCCUUUGGGGUUCCUUUGGGGCGUGGGGACUGUUGUGGUUUCUGACCUGACCCCUCUGCUGCUGUAUGUGUUGUUUUGAGUGCAGGAUAUGGUUUAUGGAACCUGAAGUCAUGUAAUUCACUACGAUGUGAGGUUUUUCACCUAGUACUGGACAAAUUUCAUUGAUCCAAAUAUAUCAAUCCCAAAUAUCUUUAUGCUGGAUUGGGAUCAUGGAUGCAUUUCUCUGGAACAAAAGAGAAACACCCUUCUGCCAUUCACCAAGUGGAUUUGCUAUAAAGGCUCACAGGUAGCAGUCCUGAGAGGGAAGAAGACACACACCUGAGACUUGCUCAGUAUGGAGCUGCUGUGUAGAUGUUCCCUCAACACAAUGGUCACCGCUCCAAGGAGCCUCCCUGCUCUUCAGCCUGGUCCAGGGCCUGCCAAAAGUGUGGGCUGGUUGUGUUGACAGGCUGUGAUAUAAACAGCCCUUGAGGCACAGGAGCUGCAGAGAUAAUGAAGUGCCUUGAGGAAAAAGUCUUAACUAUCAAGGGAUGGAUCCACUCCCCCCUGCCACAAACCAGGGGUCACGUGGCUGAGGAAUGUGUAUCCACAGAUAGUGCUACCUUCAGAGAACUCUACUUACAGGGCUAGGUUCUUCAUGGCCAGAGCUAUUUCACCUUCAACAGAAGAACACAGGAAAGUUUUCAAUGUCAAGACAAGGAGUCUGUAAAACAAAGGAUUACCAAUGCUUUAGGUAGCAUGAAGGUCUUUUAAAGCUAACUUUGUAGUGGUAAAUAUUAUAGAUCUUCAUAUUGGAAAACUUAAUACUUUGAAUUCUUCAACUUCUUUAGAGUGUGAAUAAGAACACAAAAAGUUAUAUAGGAGCAAACUCAAGUUACCCAAAUAAGGGCACCAUGAAAAUACAACUCAAUGCAGACAAGGGCAAAUAAAGUAGUCGUGUUUCUGAGUAUGUGUGGUGAAUAAAUAAGGCUUUUUCAUGUCUGGAAGUCAGUAAGAAUAAUAACUUUCUGUGCUUUGGAAAUAGAAGCUUAUGUUUUCUAAACUAUUCUGGUACUUGCAAUUUCAGGUGCUUGCCUUGAGACAUCUUAGAAAGUAAACCCAGACUUGCAGAAUACUUUUUUUAAACGGAACCUUGUCAGGUGAUCUAAAUUUGUCCUAUGGUAACUCCAAAUGGUUUAAGAUUGAAAAAAAAAACCCCAAAAAAACCCACAUUAUUGAGCUUUUGGAGCUUAUAUAUAUUUUGCCACUUCAAAAACUUCCAUUGUUUGUCUUCCAGUCAGACAUCAAUCAUUCAGUAACCAAUGCUUUUAUAGUUUCUGAUCUUGAUGGCCAGUUUCAACUAAGAGAGGAGAUUCACAAGCUCUCUGAAGGCUUGCUGAAGGCAGUCAGUUAGAGACUGAAAUUAAUGCUACCACUGAAUCAGUGUGAAAGGUUGAUUUCUAGCAUAUUUUGUGUUUA